GACCUGGUGGCGUAACUGGUAACGUGCCACAUUUCCACUGUGAAAGGUUACAGUGACCCAUAAUCUACAAAUGCGAGACCCUCGUUCGAUUCGAGGUCAGGCCG